rnacentral:rRNA from 1 species
UGGGGAAUAUUGGACAAUGGGCGCAAGCCUGAUCCAGCCAUGCCGCGUGUGUGAAGAAGGCCUUAUGGUUGUAAAGCACUUUAAGCGAGGAGGAGGCUACUUUAGUUAAUACCUAGAGAUAGUGGACGUUACUCGCAGAAUAAGCACCGGCUAACUCUGUGCCAGCAGCCGCGGUAAUACAGAGGGUGCAAGCGUUAAUCGGAAUUACUGGGCGUAAAGCGCGCGUAGGUGGUUCGUUAAGUUGAAUGUGAAAGCCCCGGGCUCAACCUGGGAACUGCAUCCAAAACUGGCGAGCUAGAGUAGGGCAGAGGGUGGUGGAAUUUCCUGUGUAGCGGUGAAAUGCGUAGAGAUCUGGAGGAAUACCGAUGGCGAAGGCAGCCAUCUGGCCUAACACUGACGCUGAGGUACGAAAGCAUGGGGAGCAAACAGG